AGCCUGAGGAAGAGGGCGGCGACGGUGGUGGUGACUGAGCGGAGCCCGGUGACAGGAUGGCUGGGCACAGAAAGGAAUCCCCCUCUAAAAUGAAGAUUGUUCUAUAUCCAGUUGGGGAACUAUACCGAGGAUAUAUGAGCAAUUUAAUCCAGACCAUAAAAAUAUGACAGUGAGGACUUCUAAUAAUGAAGGAAAGUGAAGAUAUCAAAGAUUAUAAUUCAAAAGCACACAUUUACCUGAUGAAACUGAAGGCUGUUGUAUAUCUCUGUAACGUACACCUAAUAGUUUGAAUUGGUGUUGGUAUUAGGAGAUCUGCACAUCCCACACCGGUGCAACAGUUUGCCAGCUAAAUUCAAAAAACUCCUGGUGCCAGGAAAAAUUCAGCACAUUCUCUGCACAGGAAACCUUUGCACCAAAGAGAGUUAUGACUAUCUCAAGACUCUGGCUGG
rnacentral:lncRNA from 1 species